CCAAAGGCUCUUUUAAGAGCCAUCAUCCUUCACAAUGGGCAGCAG
rfam:Gorilla gorilla gorilla genomic chromosome, chr2A, whole genome shotgun sequence